CCGGUCUCACCGCACCCUGAUCCUGCCCUGGCGUUGUCUGCUGGUCCGUCCCUCAGACCCUCCUUUUUAAGUGUUUGGAAGAACCGGAAGCGAGACUCGAGUUAGACUCCGAAAGCAGAGGUUUAUUGAAAGCCAGGGAACGCUCAGGGCACCCGGGCCGGCGUCAAGGAAGGAAGGGAAGGCUCGGGGGCGAGUGCUCAGCGAUCCCUGGUUUGCCGUCCGUCCGUCCGUCCGUCCGUCGUAUGGGGCCGUCUUAGCCCUGUGGGGAGUGUGAUGAGCAGCUCUCCUUUACGCAUUUGGGGAGUAGGUUGGACACAUUGUUAACUCUUUACCAUCGAAUACUUCAGAGUUUCUUUCUCAAGAACAAGCGCGUCUUCCCACAGAGCCUAUGAAAACCAGCAAGCAGGUUUAGCAAUGCUGCCCCGUGGUUCCCCAACCCGCAGAUCUUAUUUUAGUCACCAACUGUUUCAGUGACGCCCUGUAUAGCACUGUUCUUCUGAUCCAGGACCCAGCCCACGGUGACACAAGGACUUUGCAGCCCGACUCCGUUUCUCCUUCGAUCUGAACCAGGGCUCAUUCAGUCUCCCUCAGUCUGCGGUGGUCUGAGGAUCUGCAGGACUGGAAGGGGCGCCCUGGGGGCAAGGGUGCUCUCAGGCGUGGAUCUGUGAAUUUCUCAAACAGUGCCCUGCAUGCCCCGUGUGGCAGGCUGACUCUGAGACACCGGAAGCAGACUGUGGCCGACACUGACCCAGUGCUUGCUCUUCCUGCCCAGGAUGAUUUGGGGGCGCUUCUGCUGGACCACAGCAGUUACGAGGCAGCAGUGGCUUCAGGCACCGAGUCAGGUCCUUCAUGCCUCAGGACCCUCCAUGUACCGGAAACGGACCUCAGAGUGGGCUCCCAAGCUGGCACCCAGGUUAAGGCCCGCCCCAGGCCUCACAGCAAUGAGAGGCACAGCCAGGACGGUUGGGCACCAGCGUGUGAGCGCCUGGUCGGCGUUGGACACCGUCGAUCCAUUUAAACCCUCCCACUGGUGAAGGCAGGGUGAGGAGAGCAGGUUUGAGCAGGAGACAUUCCUCAACCAAUCCGGACUCACAGGUGGGCGGGCGCCCCACUCUCAGGACGGGGCUUCCCCUCCAAAGGGAAGGCCUGGGGCAAAGUCGCCUCCAACUGACUUAGAUGCAAACCAGUGUCGUUCCUAACCUGUGGUCUGAAGACGUGAGCCCUGAAUUUGUUGGAACAAGCAGCUCCUGGCCUGAGGCGGGACGGUGUUUUUGCAUGGAGGUGUUUAGGAGAUCUGGUGUUAAGUCACUGAACAGUUCACCCUCCAACUGGUGCAGGGAGCACUAUGGUUUGAAUACAGUUUGUUCCCUCUGAAGCUCAGGUUGAGAUGGGCUUGAGAGAUGGUGGGGCCUUCAAGAGGUGAUUAGGUCACGGAGGGGGACCCAAGCCUUUCUGCCUCAUUUCCCGUUCCAUCUCCCACUCAACUGAAGCAGCACAAGGCCCCUGCCAGAUGCAGCUCCCUGAGUUUGGACUCUGCAGCCUCCUCAACUGUGAGCCAAAGUGAACCUCAUUUCUUUAUUGAUCAUACAGCCCCAUGAAUUCUGUUCCAGCAACACCAAGGUGAGUAAGAAGGUUUCUGCCAAUGAGUGGGACUUGCCUUUGGCUUCACUGGUUUUUCUGUGUCUGAGCUAUUGCUCUUUAUCCGGUGGCCACAAAGCAGUCAGGAUCUUGAAUUAUCUGCAGAAAAGUUGGGCUCACACCAUCUUGCAUCCCCCUGGCCACCAUCUAGUCUGGGCUAUUACAACUUCUGUAGGUACAGUGCUGGGGAGGGCAACCAACCAUCCCCAUGUGGUGAAGGCUGGGAGUUUCCAGGCUUCCCAGGCCUCAGUGCUAAAUCAGAAAUCCCCUGCAGACAGGAGGGAGGUAUCACCCUCGUGUUGGGCACGGCGGAGAACAGGAGCCGAGAGAAGGGAGAGGAAUAAUCACAGCCAGCAUUCAUUCUGCUUAAGACAUUUUUUCUCGGUGCUAGGGAAUUUAAGAAUUUAACAUGGCAGCACACGCCUGUAAUUCCAGCACUUGGGAGUUCAAGACCAACCUGGGCUACGCUGUGACACCCUGUCUCAAAAAAAUUAAAUAAAAUUAACAAAGAAUUUAAUAAUAUUUGGAAGAAAUUCAAGGGGUAAGUACUAGUAAACCGGGACCCAGAGAGGGUAACCCUGACAGAGUGUCCCCUCAGUAAAUGGCAGGUUGAGGGCUGCCAGAGAGGAAAUUUCUAUUCCCACCCAUUAUUCUGCCCUGCCUUAGAGAGAUCAUGUGUAAUUGUGGCACAAAGUCCCGAAGCUGUAUUUAAAAUUAACCCUCAGAAGGGCCGGGGAUGUAGCUCAGUGGCGCUGUGCCUGCCUGGCAAACACAAGGUCCUGAGUUCGAUCCCCGAUACCAGAAAAAAAAAAAAUUAACCCUCAGAGAUCAGAGGCAAAAGUCAGCAAAAGCUGUGUUUCCCUGGUUACCCACUCUUCUCCAGCCAGGCUGGGUUCAAAUGCAGCCACACUGGGAUACCCACUCUCAGGUGAGGUGCGUUCCUGGGAAGAAGAGACCUCAGCAGCCAUUUCCCAAGUCCCCUGCACACAAUCCAUCACCUGCCACUCUAGCGGUGGGAGCCUGCACAGAGCAGAGGAGGGGACGCGGAGCUCUUGGGGCUGCAGGGUUAAGAGCAGAUUUAGGCGGCAGUUCCCUCCUCCCACCAGGGGCUGUGCGGCCCAGGGCAAGCGACCCAACCUUGAAGCUUGGUGUCAUUGUUACGUGAUGAAGCAGUGACGGGCUCGGUGGCUGCUGUGAAGAUGGGAACUUAUGGGAUAAUGCAUGAAAACCACAGUGCCAGCCUGAGAAGGCAACAGAGGAAAGCUCACCGGUUGCCAUGCCCAUCUGCCUGCCUGUGACUUCAAGUGACAAUGAUCCCCUUGAGGACAACUUGAAGGAGCAGACAAGGUGGCAGCUUUGUGUCCCCAGCCCCUUACCGGCCAGCGUGGCCUGCCCCGCCUCUACUCUGUUCCACCAUCCAUCCCACUGCAGACUCUCUGGUGUUCCUGGCCACUUUUGGGGCACUGGGAAGAGAUGGCCAAACUUGGUUCCUCCUGCUCCUGGCCCAGUCCCCAGAACCCCAACCCAGGCUCCAGGACCACCGCCUGAAGGGUGAGCAGACUGUCCUGUGGAGAGUGCGACCCAGCUCCCGCAUGGCCCCCGCUCUCAGAGAAGAGAGGAGAAGGGAGCAAAUGAGGCUUCAUGAUCCUUUUGAUGAAUUAGGAGUGUCAGAAAGCCUGUGACUUAAUGGACAUAAUGUGGCCUGCAUUGCUGAGCAUUCCAUCAAGCUGUGGUUUCAGUGACCCGUGGGGGGUGCUUCAAAGGCCCAGGAGAGAGGCCAGGGACAGGUGAGAG
ensembl:lncRNA